rnacentral:rRNA from 1 species
UACGAAGGGGGCUAGCGUUGUUCGGAAUUACUGGGCGUAAAGCGCACGUAGGCGGAUUUGUUAGUCAGGGGUGAAAUCCCGGGGCUCAACCUCGGAACUGCCUUUGAUACUGGGGAUCUCGAGUCCGGGAGAGGUGAGUGGAACUGCGAGUGUAGAGGUGAAAUUCGUAGAUAUUCGCAAGAACACCAGUGGCGAAGGCGGCUCACUGGCCCGGUACUGACGCUGAGGUGCGAAAGCGUGGGGAGCAAACAGG